rnacentral:lncRNA from 1 species
AUGAAUGACUUGCCUUCGGAAAAAGAAUGAAAGCCAGACAUUCUGCAUCUUUCCCGUGUUGUAGAUGAUGCAUUUGGAUGACCACUUUGUGACUUUGGUGUCUUAGAAGGGAAGCAGUGGGGUCCUUGGCAUCUCAGAUUCACCACAAAACAGACGAGGAGAACUUCUGGCGGAUGGUUUGUGCUUUUGAAAUGGGAGGCUUGUUUGUGGGCUUUUACCUUCCUUCCUUGACCUGCAGACACCUCAUUGCAUUAGAUUCCUUUGGGUUUUAAGAAGCAGAGACUUGCUGAUACUGCUCCGUACGUGCUGGUUUGUUUCGAGUUGCCAUGGACGUAAAGAAGAAAGGAAGCAGCCCGCCGAGGCGCUCUCCACCUAGGCCUGCCCAAGAAGCCCAAGUCGUUCCAGAUAGCCAGGGAUAGCAGAACCGAACCACCCUGGCCAUCUUGAUCUUCUGUUUGCACCAGCAUCCACUGUUCCCAGGAUCCUACCAUGGUGAUGAGCUGAGGGUGACUCAGUUGGCCCAGGACUGAGGAGUUUCCUGGGAUGCAGGACUUUUUAGUGCUAAACCUAGGACAGUCCUAAGCAAACUGGAACAACCAGUCACCCUACUGGGUGACUCGAGGACCCUGCCUCUCUUCUACUUUCCCUGCUGUGACUGGCUGAUGCUCUUGAUGGGUCUGGCCAGUCGCCAUUCAAAACUCUUGCGUCAGGCAACUUCAUUGGCCACUGGGCUACCUAUAGAUGGGUGCCCGUGGACCCAGCACCAACCCAUCUUGACCAGAUUUGUUGUUUCCAGGGUCAUAGGGUUGCAUAAUCUAGAAUAAAAGCCUGGCUGUAAACAACCAGCUGAGACCACUUCCUUCAGAAGACUGCUGUGGACAGGUGGCCCUGGCAGGCAUUCAAGGUAAAAUGAGUGAGUCAGGCCACACGCUUCCCAAAGCCUCUGCCAGCGCUGCCAUCCACAGGGCUGCCAUAUUGGAUGCAGUUCAUGACAAAGGAUUUGCUACUUUUUGUUCUCUCUGGCUCUCCUCCUGCCUUCCCUUCAGCUUGCUCCAAGAUCAUGUGGACACACACCUCAGCAACCUCUGCCCCUCUGACCUCAUCCAAGUCACUGGCCUUGGGAGGCAGCCCAGGUGUUUCGAUUGGGCCAACUGCUGACAUUCCCUGCUGGUGACAACUUCUCCUCGAAGGGGCUUCAAGGGCCAGGGUCCCAGCAUAAUUGGCUUCCAACAGGCAAGUCUUCCAGAAGCUUGCAGCCCCAACAGUGCCUGCUGUGGACGUGGAGACAGAUCUCAACAGGCCGAUGAGCAGGCAGGCCGGGCACCAGCCACAGGGAAGAACCUCAGGCCAGCUGCCAAGUUUCAGCCAGGAGGGAACAUCGCUGGAGUUUAUAACCCUGCACAAGAGGCAGCCGGACAAUUGUCUAGGCGGCCCAGCGGAUGUGUCUCCUAUUUUGUGGGUCUCCAAUGAUAACCAUUGCCUUAUGGCUCAUCUCCACGUCCUGUGGGCACUGUGGGUACCCUCAGUGAGGUCCACAUGACAGGCAUGAGGGAGGAUGGGGACAUUUCCUGGUACGACGAGCCUUUGGGUUGCUGAAGUUCCAUGAAGUGUGGAAUUCAUCCACAGUCAUUCUCUCACUCACCCACUGGGAACCAAUCAAAGGGCCAGGUGCUGGGGUUGCCACACUGGACCAAGCAAAUGGUACCUGCCUCUGUGAACCUUACACUCACAGUAUCCUGAUUCAGAGUGCUCCUGUGGUGGCGCCUAGUGAAGCUCAGAUCUGGGGAUCUGGGUGCCCUAGUACCCAGCCACCUUCCAAGAAGGGCACUGCCCAUGGGAAAAUGGCCUAUCCCUUUUGGGAUGGGACCAAGAAACCACCAUGAACGUGGAGCAGCCACAGCUCCCAGCAAGGGUCAAGGUAGCCCCUGAAACAUCACACGGAUGUUGAGAAGAAGAUGCUCUGGGGUGAGAGCGGGGGUGGCUGGUGCUUUGGACGUUCAGCUUUAGAGUGAGUAUUUCAUUUAUGCAAGAGAUGUGGAAAUCUGAGAAGCAUCUGGUUCCUCCAUGGAGAAAAAGCAUUUCACAUGUCUAAACUCAGUCUCCUUCACCCACUGGCUUUGAAAGUGCAGACGUCUAAGCCCUGAUCGUCGUUUCUGGAAAGGAGCACGUGAUGUGAACAAGCAUCUCUCUAGCAGACUGGCAGACCCCGUCCAGGCUGGGGCUCCGAGCCUGUGGCUGUUGCCUCCAGUGUCUGCCCCAGAACAAGCCCCUCUACUCGGGCAGGGGUGUCUGUCUGUUUCGCUCCUGCCACACCCCCAGUGCCCAGCAUGGUGCCUGCGACGUCGUGAGGGAUCAGUACAUUUUUGUGGAAUGAGUGGUUCAAGGAUCAUUUGGACCCAGACACAACCACCCAGCUGCCAACACCUUGUGAAAAGGAAGGCGAGGUGCUUGUUCUCCUUUGGCUUAAUAACAGUCUGCAGGAACUGUUGUCUUUUAUAUGCCUGCUUAGCUCAUUGUGAAGGCCCCGUAAAUAUUAAUUGAUGGACAAGAAGCUCUGGGGUUUGGCUCCAGACAGAUCCGAGUCCUAUUUUUUUGGAGGACGUUUAUAAGGGCAGGGGAUGUGGGGCCUUACGUUAUGAGUCUGGGGAGACUCCCAGGACCCUGUCCUUCCCCUCCCAAAGCCGAAGCCUGGGAGAAGUGGGCGGACCCAGAGGGAAGCACCUAAUUACAUUCACAGGUUAUAUAAUUACACUUUCAGGUUCCCACCGGUGGUGGGUUUGAAAGGCGCUUUGAGUAAUUUCAUUUCAUCAAGGCUUUGUUUUCCUAGGCUUUGUUUCCCUCACUCUUUAUUCUCCGUCCUUGGUCUCGAGCUGGUGCCUUCCAGGAAAAGCCAGCUGAUGCUAUGUUGCCUAGGUGAGCCCCUCAACGGACUUCCCGUCUACACACAACACAGCGGAGAUCUGGAGGAACAGUCUCGCCCAGGGUUUAGCAACAGGAUCAAAGGCUCUGAAUUCAGCCCCUGCUUCUCUGCCUCCCCAAGUACCAUUCAUGGUUCAUGGUAGGACCUCACAGUCCAUUCCCCUGAGGGUUGGCAUGGUCUUGUCCCCAGACCGGCAGCCUCAGCAUCACCCAAGAGGCUGCUAGAAACACAAAUUUGCGGGGUCCCCCCGCCCAGAACUCCCAGACACUCCAGGGUGAGGCCCAGCAAUCUGUGUUUUAACAAGCCCUCUAGGGGAUUCUAAUGCAUAUGUUCCUGUUUGGAAAUCACUGCUCUAGACUCAAGAGUCUAAAAGGAUGAUUCCCAGGCUUGAGGGACUGUUUACAACAUUCGGCCAAGCAUCCCAGGACCUAGUAAAUGAGAAUCCCCUAGAGUGGAGGCCCAGCAUCAGGUUCCCGUUUAGUUCUUUGCAGCCCCAUGGGGGUUCCAAGGAUGCACGGUCCUGGCCAAGGGCCCCCGGUCCAGCGUGACGUUCCUUGCAUCGGGCAUGUGCUGGGGCUGUGCCCGGGAGCCGAACGCCACAGAAGAGGCAGCAGUAGGAGCAAAGAUGUGGGCCUCGAAGAACUGGCCCAAGAACGCAACCAGCUCCUGCACGUUGCCCCCACUUUACCCCAGGUCCCAACUGCAGCUGGUGACGCUGCCUCUGAACCUGCAGAGGCUGUGACUCCGGGACCUGUUUGGGAAGGCAUCAUGUCACGCUUUCACGAGGAACCGAAAUGGCUCUGUGACACCUCAGUUCGGGGAGAGAAGCCUGUGUUGGGAUGGUUUUCCAACUUUAGACGUAGAUCUCAACCCCUGCAUGCACAGUUAAAUCUCUUCCAGACUUUUUUGUUUUGUUUUGUUACAUUUUUUAAAAACCUGAUGCCUGGACCCCACUCCCCGAAACUUGGAUUCAAUUGAUCUGAGGGAGAGUGUAAGCUUUUCUUUUCCAAACUCCCUUUGGAUUCCAGUGCGCGGCUAGAAUUGGGAACCACUGCUUUAGAUAUUCACUGAAUAAGGAACUACCCACCCAUCACGUGCUCAGAUCUUUAAAAUAUCAGAGCAUUUAAGUUCUUCCCGUAGCCACCCUCACCCCAGUGGAGCCUUGAGAAUGAACGCAGCCUCCGAGAGAUGCAGAGGCAGACGCUAAGGGGAGCAUUGAUUCCUGACCCACAGAAAGUAUGAGACAAUUUAAACCACUGUGUUUGGGAGUUCCCACUGUGGUGCAAUCCGAAUCCGACUAGUAUCCAUGAGGAUGCGAGUUCAAUCCCUGGCCUCACUCAGGGGGUUAAGGAUCCGGCAUUGCCAUGAGCUGUGGUGUAGGCCGGCUGCUCUAGGUCCAAUUGAACCUCUAGCCUGGGAACUUCCAUAUGCCUUGGGUGUGGACCUAACCCCCCCCAAAUAUAUAUAUAUAUAUAAAUAAAGAAAUGAAUAAAUAAAGCUCUGUGUUUGUUACACAGCAGUAGAUAGCCGAUACAGUUUCAGUGCUGCUUAAGCUGGUUCAGAGAUUUUUCCUGAACGUCUCAUCUUUUUAUUUAAAAAAAAAAAAAACCCACUUUAUUGAGGUAUGAUUGACAUACAGAGAGCUGUACACAUUGAAUGUAUAGCACUUAAUAAAUUUGAACAUCAGUAUAUCGUCACGAAACCA